GACGAACGCUGGCGGCGUGCUUAACACAUGCAAGUCGAGCGGUAAGGCCCUUUCGGGGGUACACGAGCGGCGAACGGGCGAGUAACACGUGGGUGACCUGCCCUCAGCUCUGGGAUAAGCCUGGGAAACCGGGUCUAAUACCGGAUAUGACUCCAUGACGCAUGUUGUGGGGUGAAAGCCUUGUGCGGCUGAGGAUGGGCCCGCGGCCUAUCAGCUUGUUGGUGGGGUNAUGGCCUACCAAGGCGACGACGGUAGCCGGCCUGAGAGGGCGACCGGCCACACUGGGACUGAGACACGGCCCAGACUCCUACGGGAGCAGCAGUGGGGAAUCUUGCGCAAUGGGCGAAAGCCUGACGCAGCGACGCCGCGUGA
rnacentral:rRNA from 1 species